GAUGAACGCUGGCGGCGUGCCUAAUACAUGCAAGUCGAGCGAACAGACGAGGAGCUUGCUCCUCUGACGUUAGCGGCGGACGGGUGAGUAACACGUGGAUAACCUACCUAUAAGACUGGGAUAACUUCGGGAAACCGGAGCUAAUACCGGAUAAUAUAUUGAACCGCAUGGUUCAAUAGUGAAAGACGGUUUUGCUGUCACUUCUAGAUGGAUCCGCGCCGCAUUAGCUAGUUGGUAAGGUAACGGCUUACCAAGGCAACGAUGCGUAGCCGACGUGAGAGGGGGAUCGGCCACACUGGAGCUGAGACAGGGUCCAGACUACUACGGGAGGCAGCAGUAGGGAAUCUUACGCAGUGGGGGAAAGCUUGACGGAGCAACGCCGCGUGAGUGGUGAAGGUCUUCGGAUCGUAAAACUGUGUUAUUAGGGAAGAACAAAUGUGUAAGUAACUAUGCACGUCUUGACGGUACCGAAUCAGAAAGCCACGGCUAACUACGUG
rnacentral:rRNA from 1 species